rnacentral:rRNA from 1 species
UACGUAGGCAGCGAGCGUUGUUCGGAGUUACUGGGCGUAAAGGGUGUGUAGGCGGUUUUUUAAGUUUGGUGUGAAAUCUCCCGGCUCAACUGGGAGGGUGCGCCGAAUACUGAAAGACUAGAGUACGGGAGAGGAAAGUGGAAUUCCUGGUGUAGCGGUGAAAUGCGUAGAUAUCGGGAGGAACACCUGUGGCGAAAGCGGCGCACUGGACCAUAACUGACGCUGAGGCGCGAAAGCUAGGGGAGCAAACAGG